UACGUAGGGGGCGAGCGUUGUCCGGAAUUAUUGGGCGUAAAGAGCUCGUAGGCGGCUUGUCGCGUCUGCUGUGAAAGACCGGGGCUUAACCCCGGUUGUGCAGUGGAUACGGGCAGGCUUGAGGUAGGUAGGGGAGACUGGAAUUCCUGGUGUAUAGGUGAAAUGCGCAGAUAUCAGGAGGAACACCGGUGGCGAAGGCGGGUCUCUGGGCCUUACCUGACGCUGAGGAGCGAAAGCGUGGGGGGCGAACAGG
rnacentral:misc_RNA from 1 species